ensembl:lncRNA
GAGAGAGAGAGAGAGAGAGAGAGAGAGAGAGAGAGAGAGAGACAUUAAGGGCGAUGCAAAUUUAAUUUAAAUUGAGAGAGAGACGCAGAAAAAGACAGACAGUGAGAGAGUAGGAGGAAGCAGAAGGGAUCUCAGUUAGUUUUCUCAAGCUGUCUGUUCUGAGGAGAGGGUCUGAUCUGAGGGGUUCUGGUCUGGGGGGUCUGGUCUAGGGGAUUUGGUCUGGGGGGUCUGGUCUGGAGCCACCAUGAGGUCCAGCACAUGGCUGCUCCCCCUGCUCCUUCUCAGCUCUUCCACCAGCGGUGCGAGCGGGCAGUGUGCGGAGGAGAUUAAGGUGCGCCGCAACCAGGUGCUCGUGGCUCAGGAGGGCGUGCAGCUGGAGGUCGAGUGUCCCGUCAGCUUCUGUUCAGACCCACCGCCCCGUGUCUCAUGGGUGAAAUAUACAAACGGGUCGGACAAAGACAAGCCCGGGUCCGUGUUGGAGAGCAGGUGGGAGGGCCUGUCGAAUAGCUCCGGUGUCUCCUACCUCACCUUCACUCACCUGAUCCUCAACCACUCUGGGGAAUACAGAUGUGAAACCAACUUCACUAAAGGCCAUAUCAUCAACAUCACUGUCACAGGAAGUGCAGAGGUUUCUGUUGAAGAAAAGGACGACCGGCGUGCAGAUCGCGGGGUCCGGCCCAGCUCCAGCCCUACCUGUGGGCCUCAGCGGGGGUCCUCCUGUGUGUGGUGGUGGUGGUCACUCUGUCACUUGUGUCCCUGCAGCGCUGCCCAGGAGACCCCAGGAGGACGGCGGAGUAUCAGAACACAGUGGUGCCGAUGACUCAGUAUCCAUCAGCGCACUCUAACCCUGGACAAGCCCCUCCCAGUGACACGCCCCUCUCCCUUGCACGCCCCCACCGCCCGCCCGAGCCCCCCCACGCCCCACCGGACGUCUCAGCAUGGCCGUCUCUAUGGCAACCGAGGGGAGGAGGAGGAGGAGGAGGAGGAAGAGGAGGAUCAGUCCAUUUGGUACGCGGCCCUGAAUCACGAUGUGAUGCCAGUGGCUCCCAGAGUGCGCCGUAGAGAUAGCUUGCAGGACGUGGAGUACGCAGCCAUCCACGUAGCAUAGCGAUAGCUUGCAGGACGUGGAGUACGCAGCCAUCCACGUAGCAUAGCGAUAGCUUGCAGGACGUGGAGUACGCAGCCAUCCACGUAGCAUAGCGAUGGAGCUAGCACAGGGUUCAUAGCCUCAUCACUGGGCUAUCUUAUGAGUCAACUGAUUAGCCUAACCUCCUAGCUAAUCCACUAGCUAUACGAUUCGCUAAACGGUUAGCUUACACGUUAGCCAACCUAUGAGCUAAAAGAUUAGCUUACCUAUGAGUUAAUGGAGGAAUUCAGUGAUGAGCUAAACUAUGAGAUAACACAUUAGUUAACCUAUUAGCCAGCUGACUAGAUUAAUGAUUAUCUAACCUAUGAGCUCACUGAUUAACUAACCGAUUAGCAAAUCACUAGCUAACCUAUGAGCUCACUGAGUAACUAUACUGUGGACCAGUCAACACCACUGAAAUCACAACACAUACAUGAACCACAUCUUUGCGCUGUUUCUGUUAAAAUUAUUGAUGCAACAAUAUAAAUGCACACUGAAACCAUAACUCAUAAAUGGGUGUGAAAGAUGUUCACAACCCUUUGGCCUUCGUGUUGGUCUUUAUCUUAUGUUAUUAUCUGAAUAAGUUCUACUUUCCAGUUUGUAACCAUUGCCAUCGCAAGCAGUCCAUUGCUUUGAGCAGUGUAAUAUAUGUGUGUAUGUACAUUUAUAUAUAUAUUACAAUAGUAUGUAUGGCAUGUAAAAGAUUAUUACGUGUGUCAAUGAUUAUUCACAUGUUAAUGAAUACUCAACAUGUAACUUAGCUGAUAAUAAUGUACAUAUAUAAUAAUUAACAUGCAUAAUUUGCAGGUAGGCUAUAUGUAAAUUAUCAUUAUAUAUGUACAUUCACACUUUACAUGUAAAUGAUUGUAUAUGUAAAUUAUUUAAGUAUCUACAUUCAAGCUAUACUAACUAUUGUAUAGGAAUAUGAUACAUUAUUAUGAUAUGUUUAAUUAAUUACGACAAAUCAAUUAAUACCAUAUAGGCCUAUGUGAAUGAUAACAUGUACAUUAAUACUGUACAUAUAAAUUAACACUAUGUAAUUAUAUUUUUAACAUAUGUGUAAGUUAUUAACAUGUAUUGUCAUGAUAUAUAAUGAUGACUAUAUCUAAAAUGAUUACGAUGUAUGGUUCAGCAUCUUUGUAAUUUGUGUGUUUAAUACCGAAUGGUAUUAUGUAAUAUGUGUUACGUUAUUUUGUCUGUAUUAUGUUAUAAUGCAUGGACGAUGUGAUUAUGUUUGAAUUAUGUGAUUCGGCACAGCGGUCAUUACCCUGAAAUAAACCGGAAGAUUCAUGAAGACUAUAAAUGAUUAACGCUA